UGGACACACUCUGGAGAGUCUCUUAAUGAGCGCCGAAGGUGUAAGGGUUAAAUAUUAAUCCAAAUCUCUCAGGCAAAAGGACAGAGAAUAAACA
rfam:Dialister sp. CAG:588 genomic scaffold, scf85